rnacentral:rRNA from 1 species
UACGUAGGGGGCAAGCGUUGUCCGGAAUCAUUGGGCGUAAAGCGCGCGUAGGCGGCCUCACAAGUCCGCUGUGAAAGUCAAAGGCUCAACCUUUGAAAGCCAGUGGAAACUGUGAGGCUAGAGUCCGGAAGAGGCGAGUGGAAUUCCUGGUGUAGCGGUGGAAUGCGCAGAUAUCAGGAGGAACACCAACGGCGAAGGCAGCUCGCUGGGACGGUACUGACGCUAAGGCGCGAAAGCGUGGGGAGCGAACAGG